ACACACACACACACACACGUAUAUAUGUCAUAGCAACACACACAGACCCUUUGGUGGUUGCUAACGUUAAAAUGCCAACAUUAUCAGCAAUGGAUAAGAGAUGACCCCAUCAAUUGCUUACAGGAAUAUGUGCUUCUACACUUUGGGAAAGCACAUAAGCCAGGAAUGGUGGCACACACUUGUAAUUUCAGCACUGCAGAGGGUAGAAGCAGGAGGAUCAGGAUGUCAACCUUACUCUUGGCUACAUAGUGGGUUUAUGGCCAAUCUAGGCUACAUGAAUCCUGGUCUCAAAAAAGAAAGAGAAAGCAGACCUGUCCUUGGCUUUAUUUACUAAAGUUUGAUAUACACCUCAAGAGUCAGCAGUUCCACUCUUAAGCAUGUAUGCAACCAAAGAGGACUAGCUAGAUCCAUCAAAGGAUGUUCAGAAGUGUUCACAAGGGUUGGGGAUUUAGCUCAGUGGUAGAGCACUUGCCUAGGAAGUGCAAGGCCCUGGGUUCGGUCCCCAGCUCCAAAAAAAAAAAAAAAAAAAAAAAAACCCAAAGCCGCAGAAAUGUUCACAGACGUUUAAAACAAUCAAAAGGGAACAGUGAGAUGGCUCGACAAGUAAAGGUGCCUGCUGCCAAAUCUGUAUUCUGUCCCUGGGACUCCCCUGGCAAAAAGAGAGUGCCUACUACCUCAGGUUGUUCUCUGAUACACACAAAAUAAAUUUUUCAAUGUUUAAAAGAGAGAGAGAAAGAAGAGAGAGAGAGAGAGAGAGAGAGAGAGAGAGAGAGAGAGAGGUUUAGUGGCUCAUUCCUUAAAUCCUAGUGCUCAGUAUUUUUGAGGUAAGAUAGGUCUCCAGUUCCGUGACAGCCCAGGUGAUAUAGUUAGACCCCACCCACAGCCCCCCCCCAAAAAAAGUAGUAAGAGAAAAGUCACUCCAUAGAAAAUGGUACCAGGCACAGUGUUUCAUGUCCCUAAUUCCAACACUCAUAACACUCCAAAGGCUGCAGCAGACAGUGAGUUUGGAGGCCAACCUGGGCUACAUAAUGAGACCCUGACUUAAAAAUAAUAAUUGUAAUGGGGGCUGAAGAGACGACUCAGCAGUAGAAGACGGUGACUGGUCUUCCUGAGGACCCCAGUUCAAAUCCUAACACCCAUGCAGCAACUCGCAACUGUCUGGAACUCCAAGAUCUGACACCUUCAUGCAGGCCUGGCUGCAGGCAAAAAACACCGAUGCACAUAAAAUGAAAAUAAUAAAUGUUUUAAAAAGUAAGUGGAUAAAUUGGUCUACACUUGCUUACUAUAUAUACAUGAAAAGAGAGAAAAUCAACAGUCCCUGCCUCUAAAGAUGUUCUAGAAACCCGCAGGAACACUCUUCCUGCAGAUUCCUCCCUAGCCUGGUGACGUAGGUGGGUGGGACACUGCAGGCCAGUCACGUGGAACCAGCUGCGCAGGCGCACAGCGAUGCACUGUCCGCAGACCAGUAGUUCUCUUUCACCAACCUGUGCCUCAUUUCCAGGACUUCCAACCUACUCUGCCACCUCCAACUGUGCCAGCCUUGGAGCAGCCUUCCCCCCCGACCCCCGUGGUGGCACAUGCCUUUUUAAUCCCAGUCUUCGGAGGCAGAGGCAGGUGGAUCACCGAAGUCACAGCCAGUCUCGUCUACAGAGCAAGUUCUGGGAUAGCCAAGGCUACGUGGAGAAAUCCUGUUUGGAAAAAAAGGAAUAAACAUUCUGAAGGAAUCUAGGUCAACUUGCCACUGAGCCCCUUGUACAUCCAUAUUUUACUAUGGAUCUAGCCUGGGUGCCCACCACCAGGACCCCAGCCUCUGGGAAUGCCGUGUCUCUCCUACGUGGCCUUCUGUCCAAGCUGCCGGUCACACUAUGCAUCAGCCACUAUAAACAAGCCACUGCCACAGCACAGCCUUCAUCCUCUCUCUGAGGAUUCUGACCCUUGAGCUCCUGCUUGUCUUUCCAUACCCCAAGCCCCACUAGAAGGAGAGUGUUCCUUCUGCUUCAUAUGACAUGUUUGUGUCUCUCUGGCAGGACUUCUCUGUCCUGUGUCUGUCUUGGGAUGCCUAAGUAGAAUCCAGACUCCGCCCACACUGAACUAUUGUUCUGUGCCUCAUCUUUCAUUCUUAGGAUUGGGCUGAUAUCAUUCCCUUCAAAACCGGGUUGUUCUGAGGAUGGUGUCCAGUGGCUUGCUAUACAUGUCAAGCAUUGACAGUGGAGCCAGCGCAGUUCCAGGAUAUUCGGGGAUACCAAGAAGACCCUGUGUCAAAACAAAGCAAACGGAAAGCACAGCACCAGCCACAAGGACCACGCCUGCCUCCCCUCCCCCAAGAGGGACGCUCCACUCUCUAGCAUUCUCUCACCAGCGUUCAGUCAACAAGCACGAUCCCAAUCUCUAUCACAAUGGCUCCUGUGCCUGUUUGGCAACACUGCCUAGAGCCCAGCUUGGCCUCCAUGUCCCUGCCCUUACCCCCACCUCCCUGAGCCUCUGACCAUGGAUCUCCCUCCAGGAACCUCUCUGCAUCCUCCCUCCUGGCCUGGAGUCCUUCUCUUCUCCCUCACAGCACCCUGGAAUCCCCACUAUCUGCCCCUCCAGCUCGCCUGCCUCCUGCUGAGACACCUCACAUCAGGCGGUGUGUGUGCAUCCGUGGGACCCAACACGGAAUUCGGAAUCUCGAAAGACCUUCAAUGAGUAUCUGUGUGGUGCACGAACAAACAAAUAAGCCAAUAAAAAUUGCAAGAGUGCAACAUGAACCCACUACACUGAA